rnacentral:rRNA from 1 species
GAUUUCCCAUUUCUUCGGAAAGUAAGAUCCCUGAAAGAUGAUCAGGUAGAUAGGUUUGGAGUGGAAGUGUAGCGAUACAUGGAGCGGACAAAUACUAAUCGAUCGAGGACUUAACCAA